CAGCCGCCGCGGUAAUACGAGGGGGGCUAGCGUUGUUCGGAUUUACUGGGCGUAAAGGGCGCGUAGGCGGACUGAUAAGUCAGGGGUGAAAUCCCAAGGCUCAACCUUGGAACUGCCUUUGAUACUGUUUGUCUUGAGUUCGAGAGAGGUAAGUGGAACUGCGAGUGUAGAGGUGAAAUUCGUAGAUAUUCGCAAGAACACCAGUGGCGAAGGCGGCUUACUGGCUCGAAACUGACGCUGAGGCGCGAAAGCGUGGGGAGCAAACAGGAUUAGAUACCCCCGUAGUCCCUGUCUCUUAUAC
rnacentral:rRNA from 1 species